AAAGGAGACUGCCAGUGAUAAACUGGAGGAAGGUGGGGAUGACGUCAAGUCAUCAUGGCCCUUACGACCAGGGCUACACACGUGCUACAAUGGCGCAUACAAAGAGAAGCGACCUCGCGAGAGCAAGCGGACCUCAUAAAGUGCGUCGUAGUCCGGAUUGGAGUCUGCAACUCGACUCCAUGAAGUCGGAAUCGCUAGUAAUCGUGGAUCAGAAUGCCACGGUGAAUACGUUCCCGGGCCUUGUACACACCGCCCGUCACACCAUGGGAGUGGGUUGCAAAAGAAGUAGGUAGCUUAACCUUCGGGAGGGCGCUUACCACUUUGUGAUUCAUGACUGGGGUGAAGUCGUAACAAGGUAACCGUAGGGGAACCUGCGGUUGGAUCACCUCCUUACCUUAAAGAAGC
rnacentral:rRNA from 6 species